rnacentral:miRNA from 2 species
UCAGUGGAGAUGAAACAUGA